rnacentral:rRNA from 1 species
CAACAGGGAUUGCCCUAGUAACGGCGAGUGAAGCGGCAACAGCUCAAAUUUGAAAUCUGGCUCUUUUAGAGUCCGAGUUGUAAUUUGCAGAGGGCGCUUUGGCUUUGGCAGCGGUCCAAGUUCCUUGGAACAGGACGUCACAGAGGGUGAGAAUCCCGUACGUGGUCGCUAGCUAUUGCCGUGUAAAGCCCCUUCGACGAGUCGAGUUGUUUGGGAAUGCAGCUCUAAAUGGGAGGUAAAUUUCUUCUAAAGCUAAAUAUUGGCCAGAGACCGAUAGCGCACAAGUAGAGUGAUCGAAAGAUGAAAAGCACUUUGGAAAGAGAGUCAAACAGCACGUGAAAUUGUUGAAAGGGAAGCGCUUGCAGCCAGACUUGCUUGCAGUUGCUCAUCCGGGCUUUUGCCCGGUGCACUCUUCUGCAGGCAGGCCAGCAUCAGUUUGGGCGGUGGGAUAAAGGUCUCUGACACGUUCCUCUCUUCGGGGAGGCCAUAUAGGGGAGACGUCAUACCACCAGCCUGGACUGAGGUCCGCGCAUCUGCUAGGAUGCUGGCGUAAUGGCUGUAAGCGGCCCGUCUUGAAACACGGACCAAGGAGUCUAACAUCUAUGCGAGUGUUUGGGUGUCAAGCCCGAACGCGUAAUGAAAGUGAACGGAGGUGGGAACCCGCAAGGGCGCACCAUCGACCGAUCCUGAAGUUUACGGAAGGAUUUGAGUAAGAGCAUGGCUGUUGGGACCCGAAAGAUGGUGAACUAUGCUUGAAUAGGGUGAAGCCAGAGGAAACUCUGGUGGAGGCUCGCAGCGGUUCUGACGUGCAAAUCGAUCGUCAAAUUUGGGCAUAGGGGCGAAAGACUAAUCGAACU